UAGGGAAUUUUCGUCAAUGGGGGAGCCCUGAACGAGCAAUGCCGCGUGUGUGAAGAAGGUCUUCGGAUCGUAAAGCACUGUUGUAAGUGAAGAAUGCCAUAUAGAGGAAAUGCUAUGUGGGUGACGGUAGCUUACCAGAAAGCCACGGCUAACUACGUGCCAGCAGCCGCGGUAAUACGUAGGUGGCAAGCGUUAUCCGGAAUCAUUGGGCGUAAAGGGUGCGUAGGUGGCACGAUAAGUCUGAAGUAAAAGGCAACAGCUCAACUGUUGUAUGCUUUGGAAACUGUCGAGCUAGAGUGCAGAAGAGGGCGAUGGAAUUCCAUGUGUAGCGGUAAAAUGCGUAGAUAUAUGGAGGAACACCAGUGGCGAAGGCGGUCGCCUGGUCUGUAACUGACGCUGAGGUUCGAAAGCGUGGGUAGCAAACAGGAUUAGAUACC
rnacentral:rRNA from 1 species